rnacentral:rRNA from 1 species
UAGGGAAUCUUCGGCAAUGGGGGGAACCCUGACCGAGCAACGCCGCGUGAGUGAAGAAGGUUUUCGGAUCGUAAAGCUCUGUUGUUAAGGAAGAACGAGUGUGAGAAUGGAAAGUUCAUGCUGUGACGGUACUUAACCAGAAAGGGACGGCUAACUACGUGCCAGCAGCCGCGGUAAUACGUAGGUCCCGAGCGUUGUCCGGAUUUAUUGGGCGUAAAGCGAGCGCAGGCGGUUAGAAAAGUCUGAAGUGAAAGGCAGUGGCUCAACCAUUGUAGGCUUUGGAAACUGUUUAACUUGAGUGCAGAAGGGGAGAGGGGAAUUCCAUGUGUAGCGGUGAAAUGCGUAGAUAUAUGGAGGAACACCGGUGGCGAAAGCGGCUCUCUGGUCUGUAACUGACGCUAAGGCUCGAAAGCGUGGGGAGCGAACAGG